rnacentral:rRNA from 1 species
UACGGAGGGUGCAAGCGUUGCUCGGAAUUAUUGGGCGUAAAGGGCGCGUAGGCGGUCUGUCAAGUCCGGGGUGAAAGCCCCCAGCUCAACUGGGGAAGUGCCUCGGAUACUGGCGGACUCGAGGGAGGCAGGGGUCGUGGGAACUUCCGGUGGAGCGGUGAAAUGCGUUGAUAUCGGAAGGAACGCCGGUGGCGAAAGCGCACGACUGGUCCUCUUCUGACGCUGAGGCGCGAAAGCCAGGGGAGCAAACGGG